rnacentral:rRNA from 1 species
AGCGAACGCUGGCGGUAGGCCUAACACAUGCAAGUCGAACGGCAGCACAGUAAGAGCUUGCUCUUACGGGUGGCGAGUGGCGGACGGGUGAGGAAUACAUCGGAAUCUACUUUUUCGUGGGGGAUAACGUAGGGAAACUUACGCUAAUACCGCAUACGACCUACGGGUGAAAGCAGGGGAUCUUCGGACCUUGCGCGAUUGAAUGAGCCGAUGUCGGAUUAGCUAGUUGGCGGGGUAAAGGCCCACCAAGGCGACGAUCCGUAGCUGGUCUGAGAGGAGGAUCAGCCACACUGGAACUGGAACACGGUCCAGACUCCUACGGGAGGCAGCAGUGGGGAAUAUUGGACAAUGGGCGCAAGCCUGAUCCAGCCAUACCGCGUGGGUGAAGAAGGCCUUCGGGUUGUAAAGCCCUUUUGUUGGGAAAGAAAAGCAGCAGGUUAAUACCCCGCUGUUCUGACGGUACCCAAAGAAUAAGCACCGGCUAACUUCGUG